GACGUAGGGCGCGAGCGUUGUCCGGAUUUAUUGGGCGUAAAGAGCUCGUAGGCGGCUUGUCGCGUCGUUCGUGAAAACCUGCAGCUCAACUGCAGGCUUGCGGUCGAUACGGGCAGGCUAGAGUGCGGUAGGGGAGACGUGGAAUUCCUGGUGUAGCGGUGAAAUGCGUAGAUAUCUGGAGGAACACCGGGUGGCGAAGGCGGCAUCCUGGACCGGCACUGACACUGAGGAGCGAAAGCCGGGGGAGCAAACGGGAUUAGAGUAC
rnacentral:rRNA from 1 species